CAUUUUUGAAGAAAUGAUGAAAGAGCAGAAUCAGGAAAAAGACAAUUGAAGCCAUCUGAAAUCCACACCAGUUGUUUCACCAGCUUUCCCUGCCCUCCCAGUCUAUGAAAAGCCAGCAUCUCAAGUACACGGGGACUGUGAUGACCACAGGAAGCAACCACGUGACAAGGAGGUGCUGAAGGGGGAUGAGGCCCUGAGAGGAAAAGCCACUGCGCUGCUUUCUCCCUGAGCCAGCCAUGUGCCUUGGCCUCCUGUGCUAUGUGGCUCUUUUAUUCUGGGGAGCAGGCUCCAUGGACACUGAGGUCACCCAGAGUCCCAGUCAUCUGGUCAAAGGAAAAGACCAGAGAGCAAAGAUGGAUUGUGUCCCCAAAGAAGGACACACUUAUGUUUACUGGUAUCGUAAGAAGCUGGACGAAGCAUUAGAGUUUUUGGUUCACUUACAGGAUGAAGAAAUUAUAGAAGAUACAGCCAUGUUCAAACAGAGAUUUUCAGCUGAGUGCCACCAAAACUCACCCUGCAGCCUGGAAAUCAACUCCACCAAGGCAGCGGACUCGGCUCUGUAUUUCUGUGCCAGCAGCCAGUCCACAGUGCUGCACGUCAGCUCUUCUUAGAACACAAACUCACCGUGGACCCAGCUCAGGAAAUCAGUGGUGUGGUAGGAGGGUAGGAACUAACAGAAACCCACCUUGAAAGAGCAUAAAGAAGAAGGAAAAACCUGUAAAUGGCAACACAGGAUGAGCCGAAGGGGAGGUAGAAAAUAACUGGUGGGAACACAAACCCAAGAAAGGGGCAGGAAGCUGUACAGCGGUCUCAGAUUCUCCAGUUUGCAGGGUAUCUGGCAAAGGAGACACAGGAUGUGACGAAAAGAAAACAAAAGCAAGAAUGAUCAAGUGGAAACUUAUUAAGCAUAAAACUUUCUUACAGCUGAAAACAAACAAACAAAAUGUUGACAAAACAAAGACAGCCUGCUGAAUGGGAGAAAAUAUUUGCAAAUGAUAUAACCAGCAAAGCAUUAAUAUCCAAAA